AACGAACGCUGGUGGCAUGCCUAAUACAUGCAAGUCGAACGAGAAAGCACUUCGGUGUGAGUACAGUGGCGCACGGGUGAGUAACGCGUAGGUGAUAUGCCUUUUAGUGGGGGACAACAUCGUGAAAACGGUGCUAAUACCGCAUAAGCUGUUUACAUUGAAAAAAAACAGGAAAGGGGGCUUCGGCUCUCGCUAAGAGAUUGGCCUGCGUGACAUUAGCUUGAUGGUGGGGUAACAGCCUACCAUGGCGACGAUGUCUAGCUGGUCUGAGAGGAUGAUCAGUCACACUGGAACUGAGACACGGUCCAGACUCCUACGGGAGGCAGCAGUAGGGAAUAUUGCACAAUGGGGGAAACCCUGAUGCAGCAAUGCCACGUGAGUGAGGAAGGUCUUCGGAUUGUAAAGCUCUGUCCUAUAGGAAGAACGGUAUUAUGGUUAAUACCCAUAGUAUUUGACGGUACUAUAGAAGAAAGCACCGGCUAACUCCG
rnacentral:rRNA from 1 species